UCUUAAUUUAAGAUAUCGCCUGCCCAAUGAUCAAUGGCCGCGGUACUUUGACCGUGCUAAGGUAGCAUAAUCAGUUGACUUUUAAAUGGAGUCUGGAAUGAAUGGCUGGGGAUUAACUGUCUCUAUUUUAUUUUGUUGAAUUUACUUUUAGGGUGAAAAAGCCCUGAUUAAUUUAAAAGACGAGAAGACCCUAGGAAUUUAUAUUUUGUUGGGGCGACAUGGGACUCCUUUUAAAAUUUCUUAUACGUGCCGAGAAGUAAGUAAGAAAAAAUUACCCUAGGGAUAACAGCAUAAUUUAAGUUUGUGACCUCGAUGUUGGACUAGGGCAAGAAUGGGCGAGCUGCUCAUUUUUUUGGUUCUGUUCGAACUAAACCCC
rnacentral:rRNA from 1 species